CCAGCGUUCUAACCGCUAUUUAUUUAAUUUCCUCUCUACAUUCGUUACUUUCAUGAUUCCUCCCUCUCUCGGUGUUACCUUCUUGUUUCUCCCUUACAUUCUUUCAACACACGUAUUCGAGUGAGUCAGGACUUUACACCAUCCAAAGAGUGCUGAGAUUUUCAAGAGGAUAUUCUGACCUAUAGUUGUUUCACUUAUGAUUCCAGUCGUUUCCUGCGUUUCCAUGGCACCAGGUCGUGCUAUUUCUUUGUUUAUUUUUUUUAUUCCUUGGUAACGAAAAGGGGCGACAGAGACUUAUAAAAGAAAUGUUAAGUCUGACAAACAAGAACUUGAGUAGUAUUUUGCUCGUGGACUUGUUUGUAUUUUCAACUUAUCCACUUCCACUGACGAGUUCCGCCAAUUUGUGGUUCAGUACAAACUUUUCUCCUGUCUCAGAGUUUCUUUUAGCGUUUGAAAAUGUCGACUUGCAUAAGGACGUGGGUGAAUUUGAGUCACGUAAACCUAAAAGUGUGAUACGGGGAUUAUAUGUUUGGCGGCUCAGCAUCACAAGUAAUAAUCGUGGGAA